AUUUUUUCAGUAAGGCAAAGAACAUAUAUUUCUGACGGCUAGAAAAGAUUGAUCCCGGGUCAACAUUUCACAGCAAGAAGUGAAUAUGAUGAAGACUCACCUUUUCUUUGCUUCCAGCACUUCCAACCACAUAACAACCCAUUAACUUAGCAAACUGUCCGACAAGUUGGCCAACUGCACCAGAUGCAGCAGAUAUGAACACAUUUUCUCCU